CCUACGGUAGGCAGCAGUGAGGAAUAUUGGUCAAUGGACGCAAGUCUGAACCAGCCAUGCCGCGUGCAGGAAGACGGCUCUAUGAGUUGUAAACUGCUUUUGUACGAGGGUAAACGCAGAUACGCGUAUCUGUCUGAAAGUAUCGUACGAAUAAGGAUCGGCUAACUCCGUGCCAGCAGCAGCGGUAAUACGGAGGAUUCAAGCGUUAUCCGGAUUUAUUGGGUUUAAAGGGUGCGUAGGCGGUCGGAUAAGUUAGAGGUGAAAUCCCGAGGCUCAACGUCGGAAUUGCCUCUGAUACUGUUCGGCUAGAGAGUAGUUGCGGUAGGCGGAAUGUAUGGUGUAGCGGUGAAAUGCUUAGAGAUCAUACAGAACACCGAUUGCGAAGGCAGCUUACCAAGAUACUUCUGACGUUGAGGCACGAAAGCGUGGGGAGCAAACAGGAUUAGAUACCCGGGUAGUC
rnacentral:rRNA from 1 species